UGCAACUACAUAUCUAUGGUGUGCUGAGUAUUCCGCACAAUUACUUAAUUUAAACUUGACAAUUAUCCCUGUUUUACAGAUUAGCAAACUGAGUCUCAGGAAGGCUAAGUUACAAUAAAGGCACAGAGUAAAUGGCAAUGCCUAUAUUUCACUCUACCACAACACCUUGCUAAUGAAAAUACCUAAGCUCAUCUGAAGUUUAUACUUUAAAAUAUUCUUGUCAAGAAACUCUAUGUCUAGAAUAACAAGUCAUUCCACCACUCCUCCCACUCUCAAGUCCUACCCACUCCACCACACACCUUCCCUCUGACACACACUCACAUCCAUUCCCUACACCCACUUGCCUUCUUCCAAGCCUUCACAGAGCUGUUCCCUCUGCUUAGACUGUCCUACCUUUCUUCCCCACUUAAGAGAACCCCAACCCAUCCUCCCCAAUGGGACAGUGACUUCAAAAUCUUUGCUCCCUCUCCCAAGGAGGAUUAGCUGCGUCCACUCCAGCAUGUGUGAUCAGUUUAUCUUUCUGUCAGAUCGCACAUCCACCACUUGAGAUUGGCAUUUGCCUACCUCUUUGACCACUACUAGAACAUGAACUCCUCAAAAUCAGGGUCUGGAACCUACUUCUGCAUAUCUGUUCAUCUAAGUACUUAGGGAGCGCACAGUGGGAGUUCAAAAAGUGCUUGUUGAAUUCAUGAAUGAAUUUCCUUUUAAAUCAAGGUCGAUAUUUCAUAUGUCCUAGAUUGUGAAUGAAUCAUAUGUACGUAAACACUGUGAAGUAACUGGCUCUUAAAUGAGUUUAAGAAUGACUACGAAGAAAGGCUUCACUCACCCAAACCCAGUUUUUUCAGAGACCUCGCCCGGUUUCAUCUGUUUCAGCCCAGGCACGAGAUGGCCCCGCCUCCCUGCCUGCCAAUCAACCGGCCCUCGCGCCUGCGCAGACAUCGUCCUCUCACGAAGCCCCGCCCCAGUCACCGCCCCGGGACUGUUGCGGGCGGUUAGAUGUGGCGGGAGCUCUUCCUUCAUUAGCUCGCCCACUAUGACGAUCACCUACAGCUGCAUUGCAAAUGGCCGAGCGGUCCUAGCGGAGCUGGCCCUAACCGGCGGGUCUUAUCAGGAAGCAGCAGCAGCAGUGCUUAAGCUAGUACUUCUUAGAGCUGAACCAAAGACCAUGAUUCAAAUGGGAAGCUUUGUCUACCAUACUCUCUUUAUUGACGGAAUCACUUACCUUUGUGCCUCAGACAAUGCCUUAGAUAUUUUAACACCAUCUGCAUUUCUUAAAAAUGUUAGUGAGACUUUUCUGAAAAAUCCUUUGAUGUCACAAGAACAUUUUUCUCCUUCAAAUGCAGUUGCUGCAGAUUUUCAACAAGUAUUAGGAAAGUAUAUGAUGAAAUAUAAUACAAAUCAAGUUGACAGCUCGAUAUCCACACUGAAGAGUCAAGUAACUGAUGUAAAAAAUGUUAUGACCCAAAAUAUCGAUAAAAUUUUGGAAAGCGAAGACAGAUUGAAUAUCUUCACUGGUAGAAUGGAUGAUCUGCAAACAACUGCCAAAGAAUCCCCCCAAACAAUGAAGACUCUUAGGAGGAUAUGGCGGAAACACUGCAAAAAGAUCAUAAUCCUCAGCAUGGCAAUUCUUCUUUCAAUCAUCAUCAUUCUUUUAAGUACAAACGUUAUACCAACUUGACCCUUCUCCCCAUCUGCAAGGAUACCAAUAAAUUGUUAUAUUAACUAGAGAGUUCUACCA
ensembl:lncRNA